AAACUAAAAUCUAGAAAAAAAUAUAUAUACAAUCAAACUUUUUAUGUACCAUAAACAUAUAUAACACUAACUAAUGCAUUUAUAUAUAAAAUGGGGCCCUAAAUAUUAACUAAAAAUUAUGGGGCCUAAGGCCAUUUCCUUUUUCAACAAGGGGUAAAAGCACGACUCUGGAUUAGUCCAACGGUAAUCCUAAGCACAUUUUUUACCACACUACCCUCUACAUAAAGUCUCAUUUAUACAACCAUAAAUACUUUUAAUCGCAGGUCAAGCACGCUAACGAAUCCCAAACCAACGAAUUAAGGACCUGCGAAAUACUUGCUCAGAUGCAACGUUCGGUCUCACUCCUUUACGUUACAUACAUUUGGUAGGCCAUUCAACAGAGACGGUUUUAAUCUAAUAUUCUAUACAUGAUACAACACCUGCUGCUUUGAUUGAUGUUUACGUAACGAUACAAUUUCUCACAGUAAGCCGUUACUCCAUAGCACCAUUACUUUUCACCUCAUCUCUCAAACACAA
rnacentral:lncRNA from 1 species